rnacentral:rRNA from 1 species
UACGUAGGGUGCGAGCGUUAAUCGGAAUUACUGGGCGUAAAGCGCACGUAGGCGGAUAUUUAAGUCAGGGGUGAAAUCCCAGAGCUCAACUCUGGAACUGCCUUUGAUACUGGGUAUCUCGAGUAUGGAAGAGGUGAGUGGAAUUCCGAGUGUAGAGGUGAAAUUCGUAGAUAUUCGGAGGAACACCAGUGGCGAAGGCGGCUCACUGGUCCAUUACUGACGCUGAGGUGCGAAAGCGUGGGGAGCAAACAGGAUUAGAUACCCGCGUAGUC